GAUGAACGCUGGCGGCGUGCCUAAUACAUGCAAGUCGAGCGAACGGACGAGAAGCUUGCUUCUCUGAUGUUAGCGGCGGACGGGUGAGUAACACGAGGUUAACCUACCUAUAAGACUGGGAUAACUUCGGGAAACCGGAGCUAAUACCGGAUAAUAUUUUGAACCGCAUGGUUCAAAAGUGAAAGACGGUCUUGAUGUCACUUAUAGAUGGAUCCGCGCUGCAUUAGCUAGUUGGUAAGGUAACGGCUUACCAAGGCAACGAUGCAUAGCCGACCUGAGAGGGUCAUCGGCCACACUGUCACUGAGACACGGUCCAGACUCCUACGGGAGGCAGCAGUAGAGACUCUUACGCGAUGGGCGAAUGCCUGACGGUGCAACGCCGCGUGAGUUAUGAUGGUCUUCGGAUCGUAAAACUCUGUUAUUAGGGAAGAACAUAUGUGUAAGUAACUGUGCACAUCUUGACGGUACCUAAUCAGAAAGCCACGGCUAACUACGUG
rnacentral:rRNA from 1 species